CCUACGGGGGGCAGCAGUAGGGAAUCUUUCACAAUGGGCGAAAGCCUGAUGGAGCAACGCCGCGUGCAGGAUGAAGGCCUUCGGGUUGUACACUGCUUUUAUAAGCGAGAAAUAUGAUGGUAACUUAUGAAUAAGGAUCGGCUAACUACGUGCCAGCAGCCGCGGUCAUACGUAGGAUCCGAGCAUUAUCCGGAGUGACUGGGUGUAAAGAGUUGCGUAGGUGGCAUAAUAAGUAGCUAGUGAAAUCUGGUGGCUCAACCAUUCAGACUAUUAGCUAAACUGUUAAGCUCGAGACCGUUAGGGGUAACUGGAAUUUCUAGUGUAGGAGUGAAAUCCGUAGAUAUUAGAAGGAACACCAAUAGCGUAGGCAGGUUGCUGGGACGGUUCUGACACUAAGGCACGAAAGCGUAGGGAGCAAACGGGAUUAGAUACCCCAGUAGUC
rnacentral:rRNA from 1 species